rnacentral:rRNA from 1 species
UACGGAGGAUGCAAGCGUUAUCCGGAUUCAUUGGGUUUAAAGGGUGCGCAGGCGGGAUGUUAAGUCGGCGGUGAAAUUUUGCAGCUCAACUGUAAAAGUGCCUUCGAAACUGGUUUCCUUGAGUGUGGAUGAAGUAGGCGGAAUUUGUGGUGUAGCGGUGAAAUGCAUAGAUAUCACGAGGAACUCCGAUUGCGCAGGCAGCUUACUAAACUACUACUGACGCUCAGGCACGAAGGCGUGGGGAUCAAACAGGAUUAGAUA